rnacentral:rRNA from 1 species
GAUGAACGCUGGCGGCGUGCCUAAUACAUGCAAGUCGAGCGAACGGACGAGAAGCUUGCUUCUCUGAUGUUAGCGGCGGACGGGUGAGUAACACGUGGAUAACCUACCUAUAAGACUGGGAUAACUUCGGGAAACCGUAGCUAAUACCGGAUAAUAUUUUGAACCGCAUGGUUCAAAAGUGAAAGACGGUCUUGCCGUCACUUAUAGAUGGAUCCGCGCUGCAUUAGCUAGUUGGUAAGGUAACGGCUUACCAAGGCAACGAUGCAUAGCCGACCUGAGAGGGUGAUCGGCCACACUGGAACUGAGACACGGUCCAGACUCCUACGGGAGGCAGCAGUAGGGAAUCUUCCGCAAUGGGCGAAAGCCUGACGGGGCAACGCCGCGUGAGUGAUGAAGGUCUUCGGAUCGUAAAACUCUGUUAUUAGGGAAGAACAUAUGUGUAAGUAACUGUGCACAUCUUGACGGUACCUAAUCAGAAAGCCACGGCUAACUACGUG